UACGGAGGGGGCGAGCGUUAUUCGGAAUUAUUGGGCGUAAAGGGCGCGUAGGCGGCCCGGUAAGUCAAAGGUGAAAUCCCUCGGCUCAACUGAGGAACUGCCUUUGAAACUGUCGGGCUUGAGGCCGGGAGGGGGUAGCGGAAUUCCCAGUGUAGCGGUGAAAUGCGUAGAUAUUGGGAGGAACACCGGUGGCGAAGGCGGCUACCUGGACCGGUUCUGACGCUGAGGUGCGAAAGCGUGGGGAGCAAACAGG
rnacentral:rRNA from 1 species